AGGUUACUGCUAUCGGUGUUCGCCUAAGCCAUGCGAGUCAUAUGUUCUUCGUGAACAUGGCGUACUGCUCAGUAACACGUGGAUAACCUGCCCUUGGGUCCGGCAUAACCCCGGGAAACUGGGGAUAAUUCCGGAUAACGCACAUAUGCUGGAAUGCUUUAUGCGUCAAAUGGAUUCGUCCGCCCAAGGAUGGGUCUGCGGCCUAUCAGGUAGUAGUGGGUGUAAUGUACCUACUAGCCUACGACGGGUACGGGUUGUGAGAGCAAGAGCCCGGAGAUGGAUUCUGAGACAUGAAUCCAGGCCCUACGGGGCGCAGCAGGCGCGAAAACUUUACAAUGCGGGAAACCGUGAUAAGGGGACACCGAGUGCCAGCAUCAUAUGCUGGCUGUCCGGGUGUGUAAAAUACACCUGUUAGCAAGGGCCGGGCAAGACCGGUGCCAGCCGCCGCGGUAACACCGGCGGCCCGAGUGGUGAUCGUGAUUAUUGGGUCUAAAGGGUCCGUAGCCGGUUUGGUCAGUCCUCCGGGAAAUCUGACGGCUUAACCGUUAGGCUUUCGGGGGAUACUGCCAGACUUGGAACCGGGAGAGGUAAGAGGUACUACAGGGGUAGGAGUGAAAUCUUGUAAUCCCUGUGGGACCAUCUGUGGCGAAGGCGUCUUACCAGAACGGGUUCGACGGUGAGGGACGAAAGCUGGGGGCACGAACCGGAUUAGAUACCCGGGUAGUCCCAGCCGUAAACGAUGCUCGCUAGGUGUCAGGCAUGGCGCGACCGUGUCUGGUGCCGCAGGGAAGCCGUGAAGCGAGCCACCUGGGAAGUACGGCCGCAAGGCUGAAACUUAA
rnacentral:rRNA from 1 species